AACAGCAGCCAAAAUCGCCUAAGAGCAUUACAUCCCACCUGAUCUUGGAAGCUAAGCAGGGUCAUUCCUUGCCUAGUAUUUGAAUGAAAAACUGCCAGUGCGUAUCAGGAGCUGUAGGUU
rnacentral:rRNA from 11 species